AUCACUUGGGUCUCGAAUGGUUCCAGGGAUGCAAGUUGUCUCUCCGGAUCAAAAGGGAAUGCGACGGGAUGGACCCAAGCCGGGCAUCCUUAUCGCAGCCGACCCCGCGACUGUAGAGCGGUUAGGCAAAUGUCACCGGUUCGGGACGCCAGGGUGACGGGGGAACAAUGGUGUUUGCCUGUGAUCUGAACCAACCAAGCCGGGGAAAGCCACUGACGUGGCGGCAUGAUCAAUCGGCGCGGACGCCUCUUUGUCUACGAAUCGUCCCGUUUUCAUGACCGCCUCAAACGUCGGGAAGGCUGGCAUUUGCUGUUGUGCGACUUAUCUGGUUGCACAGAACCCGCGAGCCAGGAGACCUGCCAUUCGCACCGGUUGAGA
rnacentral:ncRNA from 2 species